UACGUAGGGUGCGAGCGUUAAUCGGAAUUACUGGGCGUAAAGCGCGCGCAGGCGGUCCUUUAAGUCAGGGGUGAAAGCCCAGAGCUCAACUCUGGAACUGCCUUUGAAACUAGAGGACUUGGGUACGGGAGAGGUGAGUGGAAUUCCGAGUGUAGAGGUGAAAUUCGUAGAUAUUCGGAAGAACACCAGUGGCGAAGGCGGCUCACUGGCCCGUUACCGACGCUCAGGCGCGACAGCGUGGGGAGCAAACAGG
rnacentral:rRNA from 1 species